GAGGAGGAAGAUACUACGUUUGCUAUUCAACAAUGAGAAGAAACUGAAUCCAAGAAACAUGCCAUCCAACAACUCCUCAGGCUCUCACAGCUAGUGAAAGAAAUGGCCUUCCUUUUCAAAAGCCAGCCUCCAGGAACACAUGGAAAUGAGGACAUCUGAGCUCAGAGAGAAAGGAACCAUGGAGAACCUUCUGGACACAGCUAUAUGGAGCAGAAAGAUGAUUUUCUUUUAUCUAGAAGAGCUUCAUAUUGGUUGCUUCCUCCUUGGACUCCCAAGCUUCCAAGGUGUACACACUUGGGUUGAUAUUUUAGCCCAUGGUCCCUCCAGUGUACACAUCUCACAUGCUCCCAAGAAUGUGUC